UAGGGAAUCUUCGGCAAUGGACGAAAGUCUGACCGAGCAACGCCGCGUGAGUGAAGAAGGUUUUCGGAUCGUAAAACUCUGUUGUUAGAGAAGAACAAGGACGUUAGUAACUGAACGUCCCCUGACGGUAUCUAACCAGAAAGCCACGGCUAACUACGUGCCAGCAGCCGCGGUAAUACGUAGGUGGCAAGCGUUGUCCGGAUUUAUUGGGCGUAAAGCGAGCGCAGGCGGUUUCUUAAGUCUGAUGUGAAAGCCCCCGGCUCAACCGGGGAGGGUCAUUGGAAACUGGGAGACUUGAGUGCAGAAGAGGAGAGUGGAAUUCCAUGUGUAGCGGUGAAAUGCGUAGAUAUAUGGAGGAACACCAGUGGCGAGGGCGGCUCUCUGGUCUGUAACUGACGCUGAGGCUCGAAAGCGUGGGGGGCAAACAGG
rnacentral:rRNA from 1 species